rfam:Sorghum bicolor cultivar BTx623 chromosome 6, whole genome shotgun sequence.
GUAGUCGGAUUCGCAUCAAUCCACAUGUAUUGGAGUGGAACUUGAACUAAAUUCCACCCUAAUCCACUCCAACACAUGUGGAUUGAGGUGAAUCCGAUA